CUUUUUCUCUACUAGACACCGAUGCGACCGGCCGGCUCUGCGGGGUCCAACAGUGGGCUGAGGCCACAGUCGGGUCCCUGUCCGCAGAGGGCUUACAGCUCGUGGCUUCCUUCCACCUCCCUCCAGAUGGGCCGAGGUGUGGACUCUGAUGGGCUGGGGCUGACUUCAGUGGCCUGCAGACCCGGGGUGGGCCAACCUCCAGCCCUUCCCCGCCCGCUGACCCCAGGCCUGGCCUCGGGGAUGAGGUGAGGGAGACAGGGGUCCGCGGCGCUCUGGGCAGCUGGGAGCCACCAGGACCUCUGGCCAGAACUGAAAGGGAGGCAGGUGAGAGGUUGGGGACCGGGAGGCUGGAGUGAUGUGGAGAACACCUUAAAAUAAGAUGGAAUUGUAUAACCCUAAGUGUGCUGUAACCAUAAGUGUGCUGUAACCCUAAAGUGUGCUGUGACUUUAAGAGUGCUGAGUGAUAUGUAACCAUAGUAACCAUGAGAUAUAGAAGUAGAACCUUAAGCGGUGUGGAACUGAUAAGGAUGAACCCCGAACUGGACAGGGCGUGGCCCAAAUGGACAGUGUGAUAAGUCUGAACCAAUACCACAAACGCCCAGUUAGAACAGUAUAAAAGGCGCUGAAGACCUCAAGCAAGUCGACGAUCCGUCCCACCGACCAGUCUACUAGUCAGUCUGUUGAUCUGACUACCGACCGGGACACCUGCACCUGAUCCCGCUGGAAGGAGCAUCGCCGCCGACCAGACGAGACCAGAGGACGAGGCCAGCGGAGAGACGGACAGCCUAGCGCCGACUCGACGCCCUUCGUCUACGUCGGACCCUCUGACCCGACGGGAGGAAACGUCGCGCUCCCAUAAGGACUUGCGCAGUACAGUACAGGGACGUGGUAAUUGGCAGACUUAAUAUUGUCUUAUUUAAUAUCGUGUGAUAAUUGCAUAGAAGUGAAUUAUAAUAAUAUAAGUGUGUGAACUGCCCUCCGAGUCUGAGUGCUCUUUACCCGAGGUACCUGCUCGCGACAAGUGAUGGGAGUGGGCGGCCGUGGGGAUGAUUGCCCCGGAAGGGGCGGUCUGGCUUCUCAACACCGGGACGGGGAUGUCGAGACGCUCUGAUUGGGCAGGCCGCAGCCUCAUGUUCCUGCCCACCUUCAAACUCCCCAGAAGGGCGAUCUGGGGCAGAAGGCCGCCCGUGACACCCGACGGCCUAGUACCUGGGGUGCCAAGGCCAACGCGACCAUAAAGACGCAGGUCCGGGUUGUCGUGGCAACUCAGCCAGCCGCUUGCCGAUUGGGGAAGCCCUGAGAGCGAAGAGGCGUUGGCAUCGAUGAACUGGAGAGGUCAGAGCCUGCCCUCUGUCCCUGCCACCCAAGUGCCCGCUGAUCGGCCUAAGCCUCCCCAGGACGCCUGUCCACCUCUGGACUCUGCCCUGGUGCCCCGAGGAGCCUGGGCUGCGAGGAACCUCAGCUCCUGAAGAGCUGCUCACACCAGGACACAGACACCUGCCUGCAUAAUUGUCCUGUGGCGCUGUCCCAGUCCCUCUCGGGCCCCCAUUCAGGCGGGUGACUGUGGAGAGAAUGAUCAGAGAGCUGCAGGGCCAGGACAGGGUCCUGAGGCUCAUGGCGGCGGAAGCUAGCAGCCAUUCUUGGGAUGGAGGCCUAGCCUUGCUCUGGGCUCCACAGGCCCUUUCCCUUUCCUCAUUCCCGGCUCUGCUGGAGGCUGAAUCUGGAUCAAGUUGACCGCUCCAGGUUAAUUGGCUUUCUCUCCCUGCCAGCAUGACGGAUCCUGCCUGACAUUUCCCCAGAUAGUUAAUUGAUACCCGAGUAAUUUGUCAUGGAGACCUCGUUAUAUGCCAAGUGGGUCCCCUAAGCCGUUAGCGUCUGUGCCCCAGAAAUAAGAUUGGCAAGUUAAUAAUGGAGCCUUAAUCACACUGUUCCCUGCUGGUUUGGGGAGAGAAUUACUGGGAGACAGGGCGGGGUGCCGGUGGGAGGAGACAAUGGCAUCCUAGGACCUUGUGGAUGAAGCUUCAUGGGACCCCAAAGCCACUGCCCUUUCUGCAGAACCCCAGCCUUAGUUUCCUCACUGAGGUGUAACUUCUUUGGGCAACAGUGCUUUGAUUUCCCACU
ensembl:lncRNA